rnacentral:rRNA from 2 species
UACGAAGGGGGCUAGCGUUGCUCGGAAUCACUGGGCGUAAAGGGUGCGUAGGCGGGUUUUUAAGUCAGGGGUGAAAUCCUGGAGCUCAACUCCAGAACUGCCUUUGAUACUGAAGAUCUUGAGUCCGGGAGAGGUGAGUGGAACUGCGAGUGUAGAGGUGAAAUUCGUAGAUAUUGGGAAGAACACCGGUGGCGAAGGCGGCUCUCUGGACCGAUACUGACGCUGAGGCGCGAAAGCGUGGGGAGCAAACAGG